CUGGUUGAUCCUGCCAGUAGUUAUAUGCUGUCUCAAAGAUUAAGCCAUGCAUGUCUAAGUACACACGAAAUUAAAAGUGAAACCGCAAAAGGCUCAUUAUAUCAGUUAUGGUUCCUUAGAUUGUUAACAGUUACUUGGAUAACUGUGGUAAUUCUAGAGCUAAUACAUGCAAUUAUAAACACGGACCACAGUAGUAAUAUUGUGGGACGUGUGCUUUUAUUAGACAAAAACCAAGCGAUCGAUGAUUCGUAGUCAUGGAUUGUUAAAAUUUGGUUGAACUCUAGAUAACUUGCUGAUCGUAUGGUCUCGUACCGACGACAGAUCUUUCAAAUGUCUGCCCUAUCAACUUUUGAUGGUAGUAUAUAGGACUACCAUGGUUGCUACGGGUAACGGGGAAUCAGGGUUCGAUUCCGGAGAGGGAGCCUGAGAAACGGCUACCACAUCUAAAGGAAGGCAGCAGGCGCGUAAAUACCCACUCCCAGCUCGGGAGGUAGUGACGAAAAAUACCAUACAGGACUCAUUUUAGAGGCAUUGUAAUUGGAAUGAGACACUUUAAAUCCCUUUAACAAGGACCUAUUGGAGGGCAAGCCUAGUGCCAGCAGCCGCGGAACUCUNAGCUCCAAUAGCGGUAUAUUAAAGUUGUUGCGGUUAAAACGGUUCGUUAGUUGAAUUUGUGCUUCAUACGGGUAAGUGUCGAUUAUAAAUGUAGUCGAUUACUAUACCCUUAUGUAUGUAAGCGGUAUUACCGGUGGGAGAUUAAUAUUUGUAUAUUUGCNGUUGGAAGCGGUGUGGCGGCCGUCCUCNGUUAUUGCGAAUGCCUUGUCAUUUCGAUGUCAUUGCAUGCCGUAAUCUCGCUGUGGCGUCGUCAUCCAUCCAACCGGUGUGCANGAUAUACUCCUAAUUUUCUUUUUUUAUAAAAAGAAAAAGAAAAACCCAUUUCGGUGCUCUUUAUCGGGUGUUGUUGUGGGCCGGUACAAUUACUUUGAACAAAUUAGAGUGCUUCAAGCAGGCUAUGAAAUGCCUGAAUAUUUUGUGCAUGGAAUAAUGAAAUAAGACCUCUGUUCUACUUUCAUUGGUUUUUAGAUCGAAAGAGGUAAUGAUUAAUAGAAGCAGUUUGGGGGCAUUAGUAUUACGACGCGAGAGGUGAAAUUCUUGGACCGUCAGUAAGACUAACUUAAGCGAAAGCAUUUGCCAAAGAUGUUUUCAUUAAUCAAGAACGAAAGUUAGAGGUUCGAAGGCGAUCAGAUACCGCCCUAGUUCUAACCAUAAACGAUGCCAGCUAGCAAUUGGGUGUAGCUAAGAUUAUGGCUCUCUCAGUCGCUUUCCGGGAAACCAAAGCUUUUGGGCUCCGGGGGAAGUAUGGUUGCAAAGCUGAAACUUAAAGGAAUUGACGGAAGGGCACCACCAGGAGUGGAGCCUGCGGCUUAAUUUGACUCAACACGGGAAAACUUACCAGGUCCGAACAUAAGCGUGUAAGACAGAUUGAUAGCUCUUUCUCGAAUCUAUGGGUGGUGGUGCAUGGUCGUUCUUAGUUCGUGGAGUGAUUUGUCUGGUUAAUUCCGAUAACGAACGAGACUCAAAUAUAUUAAAUAGAUGCUUGCAGGAUUAUGGUGUUGAAACUUUUAUAGCCUUCAAUCAUUUUGUGUUUGGGUUCACUAUUGCCGGUGUUUGUUAUGUAAAUGUUUACGGCAUUUUGGUGUUGUAUGCAUUUCAUUCAUUCACUUAAUAUAGGAGCUUAUUUCACAUAUGUUUGAAUGUGUUUUAUAGAAGCGGAGCCGUACCUGUUGGUUUGUCCUAAAUAUUCUUUAUAGAGGGAUACUUAGCUUCUUAAAUGGACNAAUUGCGUCUAGCAAUAAUGAGAUUGAGCAAUAACAGGUCUGUGAUACCCUUAGAUGUCCUGGGCUGCACGCGCGCUACAAUGAAAGUAUCAACGUGUAUAUAUCCUAGACUGAAAGGUCCGGGUAAACCGCUGAAACACUUUCAUGCUUGGGAUUGGGACUGCAACUGUUCACAUUAACUUGGAAUUCCCAGUAAGUGCGAGUCAUUAACUCGC
rnacentral:rRNA from 1 species